rfam:Danaus plexippus plexippus isolate F-2 unplaced genomic scaffold DPSCF300149, whole genome shotgun sequence.
AUCUUUGGUUAUCUAGCUGUAUGAGUAUAGUGACGUCAUAAAGCUAGGUUACCGGAGUU